UGGGGAAUUUUGGACAAUGGGCGAAAGCCUGAUCCAGCAAUGCCGCGUGUGUGAAGAAGGCCUUCGGGUUGUAAAGCACUUUUGUCCGGAAAGAAAUCCUUGGCUCUAAUACAGUCGGGGGAUGACGGUACCGGAAGAAUAAGCACCGGCUAACUACGUGCCAGCAGCCGCGGUAAUACGUAGGGUGCAAGCGUUAAUCGGAAUUACUGGGCGUAAAGCGUGCGCAGGCGGUUCGCUAAGACCGAUGUGAAAUCCCCGGGCUCAACCUGGGAACUGCAUUGGUGACUGGCAGGCUAGAGUAUGGCAGAGGGGGGUAGAAUUCCACGUGUAGCAGUGAAAUGCGUAGAGAUGUGGAGGAAUACCGAUGGCGAAGGCAGCCCCCUGGGCCAAUACUGACGCUCAUGCACGAAAGCGUGGGGAGCAAACAGGAUUAGAUACCCUGGUAGUCCACGCCCUAAAACGAUGUCAACUAGUUGUUGGGGAUUCAUUUCCUAGUAACGUAGCUAACGCGUGAAGUUGACCGCCUGGGGAGUACGGUCGCAAGAUUAAAACUCAAAUGAAUUGACGGGGUCAUAGCUGUUUCCU
rnacentral:rRNA from 1 species